rnacentral:rRNA from 1 species
CUCGUAGUUGGAUUUCUGGCAGGAGCGACCGGUCAUGCACUCUGUGCGUGAACUCGUGUUGUCUCUGGCCAUCCUCGGGGAGAUCCUGUUUGGCAUUAAGUUGUCGGGCAGGGGAUACCCGUCGUUUACUGUGAGAAAAUUAGAGUGUUUAAAGCAGGCUUAUGCCGUUGAAUAUAUUAGCAUGGAAUAAUAAGAUAGGACUUCGGAACUAUUUUGUUGGUUUGCGUUACGAAGUAAUGAUUAAUAGGGACAGUUGGGGGUAUUCGUAUUUCGUUGUCAGAGGUGAAAUUCUUGGAUUUCCGAAAGACGAACUACUGCGAAAGCAUUUACCAA